AAAAAAAUAAAAUGUAUAGAAGUAGAUUUUGUGUUGUAGACGGUGUUAAUUUUGUUCUUUAAUGUUCGUCAUCUUUGAUUUUACUGUAGGCCUAACGUUACAUGUGCAGUAAACAUGGCCAAGUAAGGAUGUGUUUGGAAUGCAGUGUAAGCUUUGCAAAUUUGCCCACAGUAUACUAGCAGAGAGGUCCUCUUGAAACAUUACAGGUUUCACCACUAUCAAGGGUGAUCCUGGAAGCAGCCUUGCUUGUUACUGACUGCAUCUGCACUUUCAAAACCGUAGACCUCAGAUAUCCUUGCUCAAAGAAAGGCAACAGCUCUCAAAGGGCUCCCUGUGUUUAUGAGGGAAAAGUCAGAAAACGUCCUGAAGACCUGCCUGGUAAGAAAAUGUGUUAUCAGCAUACACUAUCCAAAAGAACUGUUCUAUCAGACAAGAGGCAGGGAAAAGAGUAGAAAGCAGGAGACAAAG